UGUAUGUCAUGGAUACCCAGUGGAAA
rnacentral:piRNA from 2 species